UAGGGAAUCUUCGGCAAUGGGGGGAACCCUGACCGAGCAACGCCGCGUGAGUGAAGAAGGUUUUCGGAUCGUAAAGCUCUGUUGUUAAGGAAGAACGAGUGUGAGAAUGGAAAGUUCAUGCUGUGACGGUACUUAACCAGAAAGGGACGGCUAACUACGUGCCAGCAGCCGCGGUAAUACGUAGGUCCCGAUCGUUGUCCGGAUUUAUUGGGCGUAAAGCGAGCGCAGGCGGUUAGAAAAGUCUGAAGUGAAAGGCAGUGGCUCAACCAUUGUAGGCUUUGGAAACUGUUUAACUUGAGUGCAGAAGGGGGGAGUGGAAUUCCAUGUGUAGCGGUGAAAUGCGUAGAUAUAUGGAGGAACACCGGUGGCGAAAGCGGCUCUCUGGUCUGUAACUGACGCAGAGGCUCGAAAGCGUGGGGAGCGAACAGG
rnacentral:rRNA from 1 species